GACGAACGCUGGCGGCGUGCCUAAUACAUGCAAGUUGAGCGCUGAAGGUUGGUACUUGUACCAACUGGAUGAGCAGCGAACGGGUGAGUAACGCGUGGGGAAUCUGCCUUUGAGCGGGGGACAACAUUUGGAAACGAAUGCUAAUACCGCAUAAAAACUUUAAACACAAGUUUUAAGUUUGAAAGAUGCAAUUGCAUCACUCAAAGAUGAUCCCGCGUUGUAUUAGCUAGUUGGUGAGGUAAAGGCUCACCAAGGCGAUGAUACAUAGCCGACCUGAGAGGGUGAUCGGCCACAUUGGGACUGGGACACGGCCCAAACUCCUACGGGAGGCAGCAGUAGGGAAUCUUCGGCAAUGGACGAAAGUCUGACCGAGCAACGCCGCGUGAGUGAAGAAGGUUUUCGGAUCGUAAAAAUCUGUUGGUAGAGAAGAACGUUGGUGAGAGUGGAAAGCUCAUCAAGUGACGGUAACUACCCAGAAAGGGACGGCUAACUACGUG
rnacentral:rRNA from 1 species